AAUCCUCUCCGAUCAUUUGAAUAAUUGCGAUGGUGUGGUGUUGACAACGAUUGAGGGCCGUGCCCUCUUGUGCCUGCUGAACUGGUAUCAGUUUGUUGAUUAAAUGCUGGCUCAGUUCAGCAGGAACAGGAGUGAAGCCCUAGCGCCACUGCCGCACUCUUCUCCAAUCAGAAUGCAGCGUGCUUUAUCCUCCAAUCAGCAUGCAGUGUCCACCACUCCGUCUAAUCAGCACAAAAUGUGCUUCUCUUCUUCUCAGUUACAUAAACAUCUGACAUCAGUGUAUAUAAAAAAUGUUUUCAAGAGAACUGACCUUGGUGAAAUAUGAAUGGUUAACCGUUAGAGGAUAAUUCUUUUUUUGCAUACUUAUGAAAGCCAUAUCCAUGUUUUUAGUGCUGCUCUCAGCACAUGCAUGGCCAAGGGAACGCACAGUGUUAAGAUCUAAAGAUGUAUGUUCAACUGGUUUUACCUCAUGCUUGAGAAACGCCUGCAGUCUCUCUGUGUUAAAGAUAGUUCAAAUGAAUUACGACAGGAGACUUAUUUUAGGUGGUGCUGUCAUAUUCAUUCACGCAUGUAAAAAAUGGAAGACUUCAGGUUGAUCAUAAAUCUACCUCAGUCUGUUAACUUUCUGCUGGCUACCUUUGGCUUUUUCGUUUUUGCAAGAAAGAGGAAAGAUUACAGCUGGACAAAUGUCAGGUUCAUUGAUUGGAUAUCACUUCUAUGUUCAUAUAUUAUUAUAAAAUAGUAUUUUCAUAGAUUUAAGCAUGCUGCUAUGAGAUUGCUAGGGUGUUCAUAAUAGUUUUUAACAUGUUGCGGUUUGGUCGCAUGCUAUUUAGAUUGUUGCCAUGUAGUUGCUAGAGCACAUUGCUACGUAGAUGCUAGCAUGCAAAAAAAUAUAUUAUAAUUAGUUAUAUAGCAUAUCUGAGGGACAGCUUCUAUACUGCAGGUCUCGCGGCCUGAUUUGAACUGCUCUCCUCGCUCUGCAGCAUUGACAGCUACUUGGAAAGAUUUGUGCUGCUCAGAAACAAUUAUAGGCCAUAAAUGCAUCAGUGGGAAGGAGCUGCGGGGAUGAAAGCGGAAAGCCUCCUAUUUUAGUUUCACAGCGAUGUCGGAGUCCUUUUAUCAUGUGCUCAGAGACUGACCAGAUUUCGUGACGUGGCCUCCUUUAGUUAUUUGAUAUUGUUUUGCUCCCUGCGCCACCAUGUAGUCAGUUUGUUUGCGGUCCAGACCAGAGCUGUGUGCUUUAUAAUUGGUUUAACUUGAACAAGACCAGCUGUGCAAUAAAGCAGAAAAGCCGCGUAAAGAAACCCACGGUAUUGGGCGUCCUUCUGGAUCAGGAUCCAGAGCAUCUGUGCUAAAAGUAAGAGUUUGUCACAUAUUUAUUAAAAUACAUUUAAAGACAUGUUGACACCACAUGAAUGUCUCUGAGGUCCUCACGGCAUGCCACAGAUUAACUCUCUUCCAAUGUUUUCCUCUCCUCCAAUCAGCAUGCAGCGUGUUUUCCUCUCCUCCAAUCAGCAUGCAGCAUGUUUUCCUCUCCUCCAAUCAGCAUGCAGCAUGUUUUCCUCUCCUCCAAUCAGCAUGCAGCAUGUUUUCCUCUCCUCCAAUCAGCAUGCAGCAUAUUUUCCUCUCCUCCAAUCAGCAUGCAGCAUGUUUUCCUCUCCUCCAAUCAGCAUGCAGCAUAUUUUCCUCUCCUCCAAUCAGCAUGCAGCAUGUUUUCCUCUCCUCCAAUCAGCAUGCAGCAUGUUUUUCUCUCCUCCAAUCAGCAUGCAAACACUACCUUGUUUUCUCAGGCAACGACUGGGUUCAUUUUAUCCUCAGCGAUCUUCUAACCAGCUACAAAUGUGCAGAAACCAAUGAGCUGCAUUCAUCCGAGGACCCUCUGAGAACUUCCCCAUUAUCUGUCUGCAGAACACCUGGAGGCGACGCGCUGUCUGCACGCAACCGCAGUUAACUCUUCAUGCCCUCUAUAAAGAGAAGAACAUAAAUCCAUAUUUCCUUCAAGACAUCAUGCAGUCGUAAACUAAACUGUAAUCAUCUCAGGAACGAACGUGUUUGCGGUGUGUGACGGCUCUCUCUCAUAAGGCAAGCUCACACCACCAAUGAUAACUAUUUUAACAUCUGCAACUGACUAGUUAAAUAUUUCACAAUUUCCACAAAUAACUUAUGGACAUAAUUCGAAUAUAAGUCAAACGCUGAAGUGUGUUGCUGUUUGUGUCUCUUCUGAUGUCAUUCAUUGUUUUACCAGUGUAUCCACACAGAGAAGAUUCUUCCAGAUUUGUAAAUGUUCAUCCAAUCUCAUUUUGAAAAAAAAAAAGACUUUCUUCAUUUUAAA